UUCGAUGCAAUUUUUAUAUCACCGUGAUCACCAUUCUUUUCUCUACAGGUUGACCGAAGCCAAAUCACCAAAACACGAACCUCGCUGGAGAGUCGCCGUACCCGAGAGCGCCGCCGCCGGUAAGCUCCGCUUUUCCGUGAUUUUUUGGCCCCCCGAGGGCCCUAGGGUUGUUUUCUGACAAGGACCAAUGCGAGAGUGGCCGAAUUCGGCCGAAAACGGCCGAAAACAGUCAACCCGAGGCGACUCGCCGCCGCCAGCGGCGGCGCCGUCGCCGGAGCACGGCGGAGCCGCCGUGCCGGAGUUGCGAUUUGGGCCGAAAGAGGCCCUGGGCCUAAUUUGAAUUUUUUUUGGAACACGUGCAGGUACUGUUAGUGUGUUUCAGUUCCCCGG
rnacentral:lncRNA from 1 species